AAUUAUAGGCAUUACAUUGGAAGGAUCCAGCUAGGGAUAUCAAUGGAUAUGGCUACCCAAAAUUUUAUUCAAAUCUGAACCCGAACAAAGUGGAUUUACUCGAUGUUAAAUGAUUAGUUUCGAAUAUGGAUAUCAAAAUGAAAAUCCAAUCGAUUUUGAUUCAGGUAUGGAUUUUGAUUGUAUCCGACUCAAACUCAACCCAAACCUGAAAUUAUUUUACUUUUAAAAAAAAUUAUAAUAUAAUUGAUAUUUUGUAAAAGAUAAAUUAAUAUUUUUUAAUAAUAAUGCAUAAUAAUAUUAGUAAGUUAUAUAUACAUAAUUAACAAUAUCAAUUAUAAAAAUCAAAAAUGUCAAAUUACAAUUCAAAGUAAAAUUCAAAAAUUUUAAAUAGAUGAGAAAUGAGAGCACUUGUAUUUUAGUUUUUUUUUGUAAAUAUAUUAUGUUUUAGGAAUAUUUCUUUAAAAUAUAAACGAUUUUCAUGGUGGAUUUAGGGGUGGAUUCGGGGCGGAUCCUGCCGGGCGGAUUUGGAGCCGGCAAAAAUUUUUCUUGUUUCCUGCCCUGAACGCAUCUCAGAUUAUAAAAAUUAUCUCGUUUCCUGCUUCGAAUCUAUCUCGGAUCAUAAAAAUUAUAUCGUCUUCUGCCCUAAAUCUGUUUAUUUCUCCCCAUUUACUAUCCCAUUCGGAACUGAUUGGGGCAGGAGGUCCACCAACCUC
rnacentral:lncRNA from 1 species